rnacentral:rRNA from 1 species
UACGUAGGGGGCAAGCGUUGUCCGGAUUUAUUGGGCGUAAAGCGCUCGCAGGUGGUUCGUCGCGUCGUGCGUGAAAGACCCCGGCUCAACUGGGGGAGGUCGUGCGAUACGGGCGAACUGGAGGCCAGUAGGGGGAUGCGGAAUUCCGGGUGUAGUGGUGGAAUGCGUAGAUAUGACAUAGAACACCAAUUGCGAAGGCAGCUUACUACGGAUUGAUUGACACUGAGGCACGAAAGCGUGGGGAUCAAACAGG